AAGGAUCUUUUAGGGAUAAUGCAGUGUAUGGCCGGAGGCUUUCGGAAAGGUGGUGUUCAUGCGCGCGCUCGCUCGCCCUAGAGGUGGCCUUCUUUAAUGGGAGUGAAAGGAUGACAGUAAAAAAAGGUAAAAAGGUUAAGGGAAAUCGUAGCUUUAUUAGUGUGCUUCUGCUGCUUCAGUUAACAACUUCUUGAGUUUAUGAACUGCAGCUCACCAAACAUGGCGGAUCCAAUUUUAAUUAAUUAUAGUGGAAAAAGGCGUAUGGCAAGGUAGAACUUGACAAAAAUUCAGAUAGGAAAUUGUUCAACAAAAUAUGCAUAUAGGCAAGGUAGAAUGUAGAUGUUGAAUUUGUCGAAAUAAGAAUUUAAAGUGUCGAACUUUCUUUUUCUUUUUCUCAGAAAAUUGAGAGCAAACUAGAUUUACAGAAAGUUGCUCGCUUCCGUCGGUGGCGCAUACCAGAUUUAACUUUGAAUCUUAAACAUCCUCAAAACAAUUUCUUAAUUGAUUCAG
rnacentral:lncRNA from 1 species